UUCCGGUUGAUCCUGCCGGAGGCCACUGCUAUGGGGGUCCGACUAAGCCAUGCGAGUCAUGGGGCGCGCUUGCGCGCACCGGCGGACGGCUCAUAAACACGUCGGUAACCUACCCUCGGGAGGGGGAUAACCCCGGGAAAUAGGGGCUAAUCCCCCAUAGGCCUGAGGUACUGGAAGGUCCUCAGGCCGAAGGGUCUCUGACCGCCCGAGGAUGGGCCGGCGGCCGAUUAGGUAGUUGGUGGGGUAACGGCCCACCAAGCCGAAGAUCGGUACGGGCCAUGAGAGUGGGAGCCCGGAGAUGGACACUGGAGACACGGGUCCAGGCCCUACGGGGCGCAGCAGGCGCGAAACCUCCGCAUUGCGGGCAACCGCGACGGGGGGACCCCCAGUGCCGUGGCAUCGCCACGGCUUUUCCGGAGUGUAAAAAGCUCCGGGAAUAAGGGCUGGGCAAGGCCGGUGGCAGCCGCCGCGGUAAUUACCGGCGGCCCGAGUGGUGGCCGCUAUUAUUGGGCCUAAAGCGUCCGUAGCCGGGCCUGUAAGUCCCUGGCGAAAAUCCCACGGCUCCAACCGUGGGGCUUGCUGGGGAUACUGCAGGCCUUGGGACCGGGAGAGGCGGGGGGUACCCCUGGGGUAGGGGUGGAAAUCCUAUAAAUCCCAGGGGGACCGCCAGUGGCGGAAGGCGCCCCGCUGGAACGGGUCCGACGGUGAGGGACGAAGGCCAGGGGAGCGAACCGGAUUAGAUACCCGGGUAGUCCUGGCUGUAAAGGAUGCGGGCUAGGUGUCGGGCGAGCUUCGAGCUCGCCCGGUGCCGAAGGAAAGCCGUUAAGCCCGCCGCCUGGGGAGUACGGCCGCAAGGCUGAAACUUAAAGGAAUUGGCGGG
rnacentral:rRNA from 1 species